rnacentral:rRNA from 1 species
UACGAAGGGGGGCUAGCGUUGCUCGGAAUCACUGGGCGUAAAGCGCACGUAGACGGCUUUGUAAGUUAGAGGUGAAAGCCCGGAGCUCAACUCCGGAACUGCCUUUAAAACUGCAUCGCUUGAAUCCAGGAGAGGUGAGUGGAAUUCCGAGUGUAGAGGUGAAAUUCGUAGAUAUUCGGAAGAACACCAGUGGCGAAGGCGGCUCACUGGACUGGUAUUGACGCUGAGGUGCGAAAGCGUGGGGAGCAAACAGG